rnacentral:rRNA from 1 species
GUAGUUUGAUCAUGGCUCAGAGUGAACGCUGGCGGUAGGCCUAACACAUGCAAGUCGAACGGCAGCACAGAGGAGCUUGCUCCGUUGGGUGGCGAGUGGCGGACGGGUGAGGAAUACAUCGGAAUCUACUCUGUCGUGGGGGAUAACGUAGGGAAACUUACGCUAAUACCGCAUACGACCUACGGGUGAAAGCAGGGGAUCUUCGGACCUUGCGCGAUUGAAUGAGCCGAUGUCGGAUUAGCUAGUUGGCGGGGUAAAGGCCCACCAAGGCGACGAUCCGUAGCUGGUCUGAGAGGAUGAUCAGCCACACUGGAACUGAGACACGGUCCAGACUCCUACGGGAGGCAGCAGUGGGGAAUAUUGGACAAUGGGCGCAAGCCUGAUCCAGCCAUACCGCGUGGGUGAAGAAGGCCU